rnacentral:rRNA from 1 species
UGGUGGAGUGAUUUGUCUGGUUAAUUCCGUUAACGAACGAGACCCCUGCCUGCUAAAUAGUCCAAUGAGUAUUUUUUUUACUUGAUUGAUGACUGCUUAGAGGGACGUGCAUUCUAUUAGAUGCAGGAAGAUAGGGGCGAAUAACA